AUAGGUAUAGUGUAGUGGUUAGCACGUGAGAUUCUGAAAAAUGGAAGUCAUGUUCUGCGGAGAAUUCUUGAGAGCCCGGUUCGAGCCCGGGCACGACCUGCA